UACGGGGGGGGCAAGCGUUGUUCGGAAUUACUGGGCGUAAAGGGCUCGUAGGCGGCCAACUAAGUCCGACGUGAAAUCCCCAGGCUUAACCUGGGAACUGCGUCGGAUACUGGAUGGCUUGAAUUCGGGAGAGGGAUGCAGAACUCCAGGUGUAGCGGUGAAAUGCGUAGAUAUCUGGAGGAAUACCGGUGGCGAAGGCGGCAUCCUGGACCGACAUUGACGCUGAGGAGCGAAAGCUAGGGGAGCAAACGGG
rnacentral:rRNA from 1 species